rnacentral:rRNA from 1 species
AGGACGAACGCUGGCGGCGUGCUUAACACAUGCAAGUCGAGCGGAAAGGCCCUUCGGGGUACUCGAGCGGCGAACGGGUGAGUAACACGUGAGCAACCUGCCCCUGGCUCUGGGAUAGCUCCGGGAAAACCGGGAUUAAUACCGGAUAUGACCCCCUUCUGCAUGGUGGGGGGUGGAAAGUUUUUCGGCUGGGGAUGGGCUCGCGGCCUAUCAGCUUGUUGGUGGGGUGAUGGCCUACCAAGGCGACGACGGGUAGCCGGCCUGAGAGGGCGGACGGCCACGACUGGGACUGAGACACGGCCCAGACUCCUACGGGAGGCAGCAGUGGGAAUAUUGCGCAAUGGGCGGAAGCCUGACGCAGCGACGCCGCGUGGGGGAUGAAGGCCUUCGGGUUGUAAACCUCUUCAGCAGGGGCGAAGCGAGAGUGACGGUACCUGCAGAAGAAGCGCCGGCUAACUACGUGCCAGCAGCCAC